rnacentral:rRNA from 1 species
UACGUGUGGUCCGAGCGUUGUCCGGAAUGACUGGGCGUAAAGGGUGCGUAGGUGGGCACAUAAGUCAGGUGUGAAAUCCCCGGGCUCAACCUGGGAAGUGCGCUUGAAACUAUGUGUCUCGAGGCUGUCAGGGGUAAGCGGAAUUCCCGGAGUAGCGGUGAAAUGCGUAGAUAUCGGGAAGAACACCGGUGGCGAAGGCGGCUUACUGGGACAGAUCUGACACUGAGGCACGAAGGCGUGGGGAGCAAACAGG